rnacentral:rRNA from 1 species
AUGGACUGCUGCAUCUGCGGCCCCAUGGCCGCCAUCUACAGGCCUCCGAGGAACACCAUAUGCUCCCCGUGCUACGAAGGCUCCAAGGCCAUCAUCGCCUUCCUCAAUGACGGCGACCACGCUGCCGGUGACGGCCAGGGCGACCGUGGCUUGGUGACCCCCCGCGGAUUGAUCAAGCACAGCGACAGCUCCACCAAGCAGGGGAUGAGAGAAGCAUGGGAGCAGAUGAAGGAGAUGAGAGACAGGGAGGAGGCGGCGAACCAGCGGGCCGGGUUCCUCGAGCAGGGCUUCGGGGCGGCCUGGAUGGAGGGAGCCCACACCGACAUCCUCGUCAAACCUGGAAAUGGGCCGCCAAUCCCGGCCCACAAGGCCAUACUGGCGGCGAGGUCGGAGGUGUUCCACCACAUGCUGUGCUCCGACGAGUGCAAGGCGGCCCCCGCCGGCGGGUGCGUCUCCCUCCCGGAGCUCGCCCACGACGAGCUCUCCCUCUUCCUGGCCUUCCUGUACACUGGGACCCUCGACGCUGCUGCGUCGGCCACGGCGACAUCGGCGUCGGAGCGACGGCUGCACGCGCUCCUGGUUGCGGCGGACAAGUACGACGUGCCGUUCCUGGGGCGGGCGUGUGAGGCGCGGCUGGCAGCGGCGAUGGAUCCUGCGAAUGCGCUGCGGACGCUGGAGGUGGCUGACCGUGUCAGCUCGGGCGGCGCGCUGAAGGAGCGUGCCAUGGGCACGGUGGUGGAGCACGCGGAGCAGGUGGUGUUCUCCGAAGAGUACCACGACUUCGCCGUCAGGAACGCCGGCUUGUGCGUCGAGAUCACCAGGGCGCUGCUCGCCAAGGCCGCCGGCGCCAAGAAGGCGUGA